UUUAAUGACUAUUGCUUAACUUUGCAGGUUACUUUUAUUUCUAUGCAAGAGAUAAUAUAAGUAUCAGUAAUAGUACAUCAAAUGGAAAGGAAAAGAUGGUGCAAGCUCAUAAAUGUAACAAACUACUUGUGCCAACAACAACUGUCUUCACCUUACCAAAAAAAACAACAACUGUCUUCAGUUCUAUACAGAUUCAGAUGUAAACAAUUCAUCGAAUAGGAAAUCAAGUGCAAGAACAAAGAUGUUAAUGGACUAAUAUUGAAAAACAUUGUAGAUUAGCGAUUGAGGGUUGCUUUCAACAUGAAAUCAUCGAUUGAUUUAGGCUUGUAGGCCAAUCAAGGUUGAUUCUCAUUUCGUUACAGACUGCGUUAUGACCCGGAAAAGGAAAAGAAGAUGCCACGAAUGGAGAAUGAACCCUCCAAGCUGUUUUGUAUGAUCUGAGGAAGGCAAAAGUAGCAACCAAGCGAUCUUCAAGG